UCAGAGCAGCGUGUUGCAGAUUUCCCGAGGCAGCUGAUAAUGUUGACAAACAGUGUAGCUGCCAUACAGGUUAUGAUGAGGAUGAGUCCGAGGAUGGAUCCGAGGAUGAUAAAAUGAGGAAAAUUGGUAUUUAGUGUAUGUUGUUAUUAUGACUUCAUCUUAUGCUUAGAUUAUUAAUGGUGCAUUUUGUUAUUAUGACUGAUUAAGCUUAAACUAACGGCUAUAUCUUUUGUCCAAACUACUAGUUUCUUAUCUGUUUAUUUUGACACUUGGAAUAGUGUCAAUUUUUGUUAACACUGCAUUUUAGUUUGAGGAAAUGAUCUAUUGAUGACUCAAUUUAAUUAGUUUUGAAUUUAGUUAUUGUUUAGUUUGUUUGGAAUUGGUUCUUAUGUUUGAUGACAUUGGAGUAAGUUAACACUCCUGACAAUAGGCAAAAGUU
rnacentral:lncRNA from 1 species